GGAGCCAUAGUCUAGCGGUUAAGACGACGGUUUUGGGGUUUAACAGCCUGACCACCUGGGUUCGAUUCCCAGGUGAGACCA